AGUGAACGCUGGCGGUAGGCCUAACACAUGCAAGUCGAACGGCAGCACAGGAGAGCUUGCUCUCUGGGUGGCGAGUAGCGGACGGGUGAGGAAUACAUCGGAAUCUACUUUUUCGUGGGGGAUAACGUAGGGAAACUUACGCUAAUACCGCAUACGACCUACGGGUGAAAGCAGGGGAUCUUCGGACCUUGCGCGAUUGAAUGAGCCGAUGUCGGAUUGGCUAUGUGACGGGGUAAAGGCCCACCAAGGCGACGAUCCGUAGCUGGUCUGAGAGGAUGAUCAGCCACACUGGAACUGAGACACGGUCCAGACUCCUACGGGAGGCAGCAGUGGGGAAUAUUGGACAAUGGGCGCAAGCCUGAUCCAGCCAUACCGCGUGGGUGAAGAAGGCCUUCGGGUUGUAAAGCCCUUUUGUUGGGAAAGAAAUCCAGCUGGUUAAUACCCGGUUGGGAUGACGGUACCCAAAGAAUAAGCACCGGCUAACUUCGUGCCAGCAGCCGCCGUAA
rnacentral:rRNA from 1 species